UAUUUCAAAAAUGCCUUAGAACUCAUAUGUACAUUCUGUCUGUUCUUAAAAAAGUGUGCCACUGCUCAAUGUAAGGGUGACAAGAGCACUGAAUUAAAAAGAUUUCUAGAGGCUGCAGCAGCAGCAGCAGCCGCCGCCCUCGCCGCGGCGCUCCGCAGCACGCAAGGCGCCCUCCUUCCCUCCCGCCGGCCCUGGUGCACGGGCGGCGGGGCGGCCCGCGGGCCAAGCGUUCGGCACUGCCCAGGCCUGCCGGCCAGCGGUGGGCAGCGCCCCGAGCCCCAGCUGAGCCCUGGGGGCCCCGCUGCGGCCGAGGCCUUGUUCCCGGUGUUCCCUUGCACGCUGCUGGCCCCCGCCUUCCCCGUGGGGGGCCUGGACUCCCAGGGGGUGGGCGGCCUCAUGAACUCCUUCCAGCCACCUCAGGGUCACGCCCAGAACCCCCUGCAGGUCGGGGCUGAGCUCCAGUCCCGCUUCUUUGCCUCCCAGGGCUGCGCCCAGAGUGCAUUCCAAGCUGCCCCGGCGCCCCCGCCCACGCCCAGGCCCUGGCGGCCGAGCCCCCCCCAGGUGGACUUGCUCCCGGUGCUCGCUGCUGCCCAGGAGUCGGCCGCGGCCGCCGCCUCCACGGUGGACACAGCGGCCCUGAAACAGCCCCUGGCGCCCCCUCCGCCACCCCCACCCGUGUUGGCGUCUGCGGCCGAGGCCGCGCCCCCCCGUCCCCCGCCUCCGCCGCCACCAUCGCCGCAGCGGCGGCCACCGCCGUCUAGCCCCAACAUCGACGGUCGCCGUGGCCCCAGUCGCGUCUGCCUUGGAGAAGACAAAGAGCAAGGGGCCCUACAUCUGCGCUCUCUGCGCCAAGGAAUUCAAGAACUGCUACAACCUCCGGAGGCAGGAAGCCAUCCACACGGGAGCCAAGGCCGGCCGGGUCCCUCGGGUGCUAUGAAGAUGCCCACUAUGGUGCCCCUGAGCCUCCUGAGCGUGACCCAGCUGAGCGGAGCCGGCGGGGGAGGAGGAGAAGUGGGUGCCAGCGGCGGCGCGGCCGCAGUGGCCGCCGGUGGCGUGGUGACCACGACCGCCUAGGGGAAGCGCAUCCGGAAGAACCACGCCUGCGAGAUGUGCAGCAAGGCCUUCCGCGAUGUCUACCACCUGAACCGACAAAGCUGUCUCACUGGGACGAGAAAGCCCUACCAGUGCCGGGUGUGCCAACAGCGCUUCAAGCGCAAGGACCGCAUGAGCUACCACGUGCGUUCACCUGAUGGCGCUGUACAGAAGCCCUACAAUUGCUCCCACUGUGGCAAGAGCUUCUCCUGGCAGGAUCACCUCAACAGUCAGGUCAGACAAGUGCACUCAACAGAACGGCCCUUCAAAUGUGAGAAAUGUGAAGCGGCUGUCGCUAGGAAGGAUCGGCUGCGGGCGCACACAGUACGACACGAGGAGAAGGUGCCAUGUUACAUGUGUGGCAAGAGGCUGAGCUCGGCUCAUAUUUCGGACCACAUGAAGGUGCACAGCCAGGGCCCUCACCAAGUCUGUGAGCUCUGCAACAAAGGCUUCACCACGGCAGCAUGCCUGCGCAUCCACGCUGUGAAGGACCACGGGCUCCAGGCCCCGCGGGCUGACCGCAUCCUCUGCAAGCUGUGCAGCGUGCAAGACCCCUGCCCAGCUGGCUGGCCACAGGCAGACCCAUCUGGGGGGGGCCGCCCCCCAUCCCAGGAGUCGCCCCCCAACCACAGCCCACCUGCUGAGGGGGACCCCACACCCACCAGGUACUGGUGAGGUUUGUUCAAUGGCGGCGGCGGCAGCAGCGGCGGUGGCAGCAGCAGCAGCGGCGGCAGCUGUGGCAGCGGCAGUAGCAGUUCCUCCCACAGCUGUGGGCUCCCUCUCGGGGCAGAGCGGGUGCCUGUGAGCUCUCAGCCGCUUCCCUCCCAGCCCUGGUGAGCUCCAAGUUGGUUGUGAGGGAGAGGGGAGAAUGGAGUAGAGUCCCUUGGUACAGGCUCCUCUCCCCCCUCUUUUUCCACCAACUCCUCACUGCUUCCCCACCAACCAAGGAGCCUCCGGAAGGAAAGGAGGAAGAUGUUUUAGGGGAAUUCGCUAGGUUUUAACGAUUUGUUUCUCCUGCACCUCUCUUCUAUCAGACCUGACCCCACACAAACCUGUCUCCUCGGUUGUGUUGAAGUCCCGUGGACAGUGGGCAGGAGUGGCAGAGGACAGGAGCAGCCACUGACCGUACCUCCUCUCCUCUCUGUAAGCCUGUGCCCUUUCCUCCCAGGGACUUGUGAGCCUCUUCCUUCAAUGGUUCUCUUACUCUCCUUCCAAUCCUCUCUCCUUGCUGUCUACUGCCCCUCCCUGGGGAGUUGGUGCUUUCUUUCUUUUUUUCCAGGGGGAGGGAGGAGAGGAAGGAGGGAGAUCAGAGCUUCUGUCCCAAAGAGGGAAAGCCGUGAGGUUUGAGGAGGGGCAAAAGCAGGGCCCGCAAAGGUUGUACCUUCAUAAGGUGGUAGGGGGUUUGGGGUCAGGCCCUGAACAUCGUCCUACUUGAGAAUCUGUCAGGGGAAAAAGUUCAGGGGAGCAGAAGGAGGAGCCAGGAGGGUCAGAGGCAGAGGAGAGAUGGAGUUUUAGGGGCCAGCGUGAGCGAGGGGUCCAGGGCCUAGAGGUGCUUCCUGGGGGUGGGGGAAUACUGUUAAGCAGUAUUUAUUGCCUCAGCGGUGUACAGCAGCAGCAGAGGCGCUGCUCUAUGAGGAGCGGGGCUACCCGAUAGGCACUGCGUCCAGGGAAGCAGCUCAGAGGCAGGUCUGCAGUCACAUGCAUACUCACUUUUAGUCAUAUGCAAAUUAAGGGGAGGUUUAUGCAGACAAUUUUUAGAAAAAGGAUGGUAACUUCCCGGUGGUCAGAUUGUUGCCAUGGAAAGGGGCGGUAACUCCCCUGUGUGUUGCCAUGGCAAUGGGAAACUGACAUGGUCUGCUGGUGGGAGCUGAUGGAAAGCUGCUUCCGCUCGUCCCUGUUUUAGCUAGUCCUCAAUUUUGUCCGGUAUCCGAGGCACGCCCUCAGAGUCGAGUCCCGCCCCGUACCUCACUAUCAGUUUGAGUUUCUUUUUUUUUUUUUUU